AAAAGGUAGAGACAAGAUCAAGAUCACAAAGUAUGUUUAGAUUAUGAAAAGAUUAAACUUGACCCAUAAGCAAACUAGAGAAUAAUGAAGUUUUUAAUCUAGUACUGUAAUUAUCAGAUCCAUAUUUUGGAUUAUCAUUCUGCUUUUAAUGUGGAGAGUGACUUGGUAGUUAAUAAAGUUGUUCAGGCUAGAAUAGAUAUGAGCUUUCCAAGGUGAAAGAUAAGGCAAGAAUUUGUGAGAUUUGGGAAGUAGAAAUUCUAGUGCCUGGUUAUUGAUAGGAUGUGGGAGUUGAGAGAGGGUAGCCUACAAUGACCUCUAGGUUUCUGAGUAGCUGGAUAAUGACAAAAAUACAUACCUCAUAACUUUUAAGAAGGACA
rnacentral:lncRNA from 1 species